rnacentral:lncRNA from 1 species
GACCGGGGCUUCGGGCAGGGCGAGGGCCGUUGCCGGGGAUCGGGGCUCUCCCGGUCAAACGCCGACAGUGCCGGGGGCCUGGCGUGUCCCCCUGUCCCUCUGUCCCUCCGUCCCCUUGUCCCUCCAUCCGUCCCUCCAUCCAUCCCUCCGUCCCUCCAUCCGUCCCUCCGUCCGUCCCUCCAUCCGUCCCUCCAUCCGUCCCUCCGUCCCCCCGGCUGCCCGUCCUUCUCCUUGCAGGUGGCUCCGGGCUGUCCCCAUGGCGGAGGACUCGGGCUCCCGGGACUCGGACGGCAGCUGGGUGCUGGCGGGGGGCGAGGGCCUGCCCAUCGACACGGUGGGUCCAGAGCAGGAUCUGGCCUCCCGUGGGGCCGAGGAUGAGGAGCUGGAGGAGGAGGAGGAGGAAGGCGCUCAGGACACCGUUCCAGCCACUGUCACCAGCCAGACCCCCAGCCCCGAGGGCACCGUGCUGGGGGACCCGGAGGAGUGUGGGGACACUGGGACAGCGGCCACCCCCGACGGCUCGGCGGAGCACAGCACGCCAGAUGGCGGGGAGCUGGCGGAGCCCGAUGCCAAGGCUGAGCCAGGCCCCAGCCCUGACACCCCCAAAGCAGGGCCACCAACGGAGGAGGGGAGCUGCAGCAGCAGCGACGAUGACACGGAGGGGCUGCGGCGACGGCAGGGCCAUGAGCCCCGUCCCGUCCCCCCGACUCCCGCGCCUGCCCUGCACCGGGGGACGCCGGACGCUGGUGACGAGGACGGGCUCAGCAUGAGCAAGUACCUGCUGGGCGCCCUGGCGCUGGUGGCCGUGGGGCUACUGGUCAUCUCCGGUGGCAUCUAUGACCCAGCCGACGGCCCCCUGGAGAGCGUGGUGACCCGGGACGUGGCCGCCGGGGAGCAGGAGUCGCCGCCGCCUGCCGACGGCAAUGACUCGCAGCAGAAGCCCCCCCCAUUGGACACCGGGGACCCCCAGAGCGUGCAGUCGGUCACCCUCCUCCUGGACAAGCUGGCCAAGGAGAACCAGGAGAUCCGGCUCAUGCAGGCAGAGCUGCAGGUGGGCGAGCGCGGCUGUGCCCUCGGGAGCUGCUUGAAGGACCAGGUGCCACCCUCCCCACCCCCACUCACGGUCCCCCCUCGCCCCCCGCUGCCUCCCC